GCGAGGCCAGGUAGCAAUACCUGAGUCGAGCGGCGCACGGGUGAGUAACGCGUGGAUAACCUGCCUGAUGGUGGGGGAUAACCCGGGGAAACCCGGGCUAAUACCGCAUAACACCGAGAGGUCAAAGGGGGCCGCAAGGCUCUCGCCUGCAGAGGGGUCCGCGUCCGAUUAGCUAGUUGGCAGGGUAAUGGCCUACCAAGGCGACGAUCGGUAGCCGGCCUGAGAGGGUGAUCGGCCACACUGGAACUGAGACACGGUCCAGACUCCUACGGGAGGCAGCAGUGGGGAAUUUUGCGCAAUGGGCGAAAGCCUGACGCAGCAACGCCGCGUGGAGGAUGAAGGUCUUCGGAUUGUAAACUCCUGUCAGUGGGGAAAAAGGGGAACGGGCUCAUACCCCGUUUCAUUGAUUGUACCCGCAGAGGAAGCCCCGGCUAACUCUGUGCCAGCAGCCGCGGUAAUACAGAGGGGGCAAGCGUUAUUCGGAAUUACUGGGCGUAAAGCGCGCGUAGGCGGUUUUGUAAGUCGAUUGUGAAAGCCCUGGGCUUAACCUGGGAAUUGCAUUCGAUACUGCAUGACUAGAGUAUGGUAGAGGGAAGUGGAAUUUCCGGUGUAGCGGUGAAAUGCGUAGAUAUCGGAAGGAACACCAGUGGCGAAGGCGACUUCCUGGGCCAAUACUGACGCUGAGGUGCGAAAGCGUGGGGAGCGAACAGGAUUAGAUACCCUGGUAGUCCACGCCGUAAACGAUGUCAACUAGCCGUUGGAGUCCUUGAGGCUUUAGUGGCGCAGCUAACGCGAUAAGUU
rnacentral:rRNA from 1 species